AAGCCAGACUCCUACGGGAGGCAGCAGUGGGGAAUAUUGCACAAUGGGGGGAACCCUGAUGCAGCAACGCCGCGUGAAGGAAGAAGGCUUUCGGGUUGUAAACUUCUAUCAAUAGGAACGAAAAGAAUGACGGUACCUAAAUAAGAAGCACCGGCUAAAUACGUGCCAGCAGCCGCGGUAAUACGUAUGGUGCAAGCGUUAUCCGGAUUUACUGGGUGUAAAGGGAGCGCAGGCGGCACGGCAAGCCUGAUGUGAAAGCCCGCGGCCCAACCGCGGGACUGCAUUGGGAACUACCGGGCUGGAGUGCCGGAGAGGUAGGCGGAAUUCCUAGUGUAGCGGUGAAAUGCGUAGAUAUUAGGAGGAACACCAGUGGCGAAGGCGGCCUACUGGACGGUGACUGACGCUGAGGCUCGAAAGCGUGGGGAGCAAACAGGAUUAGAUACCCUUGUA
rnacentral:rRNA from 1 species